UGCAAGUCGAGGGGCAGCACGAUCUUCGGAUUGGUGGCGACCGGCGCACGGGUGCGUAACGCGUAUAGAACCUACCUUUUACAGAGGGAUAGCCCGAAGAAAUUCGGAUUAAUACUCCAUAAUAUAUGUCCUUCGCAUGUUGGACAUAUUAAAGCUUUGGCGGUUAAAGAUGGGCAUGCGUAACAUUAGCUAGUUGGUAAGGUAACGGCUUACCAAGGCUACGAUGUUUAGGGGGCCUGAGAGGGUUAUCCCCCCACACUGGAACUGAGACACGGUCCAGACUCC
rnacentral:rRNA from 1 species